UUGACGGGCCGCACAAGCGGCGAGCAUGCGGAUUAAUUCGAUGCAACGCGAAGAACCUUACCAAGGCUUGACAUACACCGGUAACGCCCAGAGAUGGGUGCCCCUUUGUGGUCGGUGGACAGGUGGUGCAUGGUUGUCGUCAGCUCGUGUCGUGAGAUGUUGGGUUAAGUCCCGCAACGAGCGCAACCCUCGUCCUAUGUUGCCAGCGGGUCAUGCCGGGGACUCAUGGGAGACUGCCGGGGUCAACUCGGAGGAAGUGGGGAUGACGUCAAAUCAUCAUGCCCCUUAUGUCUUGGGCUUCACGCAUGCUACAAUGGCCGGUACAAAGGGCUGCGAUACCGCGAGGUGGAGCGAAUCCCAGAAAGCCGGUCUCAGUUCGGAUUGGGGUCUGCAACUCGACCCCAUGAAGUCGGAGUCGCUAGUAAUCGCAGAUCAGCAACGCUGCGGUGAAUACGUUCCCGGGCCUU
rnacentral:rRNA from 1 species